GCUCAAAUUUGAAACCCUCGGGAUUGUAAUUUGAAGAUUUGGCAUUGGAGAAAGCUAACCCAAGUUGCUUGGAAUAGUACGUCAUAGAGGGUGACAACCCCGUCUGGCUAACCGUUCUCCAUGUAUUGCCUUAUCAAAGAGUCGAGUUGUUUGGGAAUGCAGCUCAAAGUGGGUGGUAAACUCCAUCUAAAGCUAAAUACUGGUGAGAGACCGAUAGCGAACAAGUACUGUGAAGGAAAGGUGAAAAGAACUUUGAAAAGAGAGUGAAAUAGUAUGUGAAAUUGUUGAUAGGGAAGGAAAUGAGUGGAGAGUGGCCGAGGUUUCAGCCGCCCCUCGUGGGCGGUGUACUGCCGACGCCGAGUCAUCGAUAGCGAGACGAGGGUUACAAAUGGGAGCGCCUUCGGGCGUUCUCCCCUAACCCUCCACACUGCCACCGACGACAUAAUCCACCCAUUUCACCCGUCUUGA
rnacentral:rRNA from 1 species